AUGUUGAGCGUGAAGGAUAACGUUGCGUCAGCAACGGCCCGAAGGGCGAGGCGAAGCCGAGUCAUCCUGCACGACCCACCA
rnacentral:sRNA from 2 species